ACAUUGAUAGCCUCUCACACUAGCUAUCCGCCAGGGUACUACGAGCAUUAGCUUAAAACCCAAAGGACUUGGCGGUGCUUCAGACCCCCCUAGAGGAGCCUGUUCUAUAACCGAUACUCCCCGUUCAACCUCACCUCUCCUUGUCUAAACCGCCUAUAUACCGCCGUCAUCAGCUUACCCUGUGAAGGGUCCAUAGUAAGCUUAAUUGGCAGAGCCCAAAAUGCCAGGUCGAGGUGUAGCGCAUGAAGAGGGAAGAAAUGGGCUACAUUUAGUGCACCCCUAUACACGAAAGAUGAGUUGAAAUUACUCUACGGAAGGAGGAUUUAGCAGUAAGUGGGA
rnacentral:rRNA from 1 species